AAUUCUCUAAAGAAUGGCUCUCAAUCUGCAAUAUAUCUAUUUCCGUUAUAUUUAAAACCAUUGAAUCGUCGUUACUUUCAGAUUUGGUCAAUAUAUAUUUCAAGUAGUAUUAAUGACAUGUUCUGUUGCUCACAUCUUGCAGAUUAUGAACUCUUCCUUUUGGUUGAGGUUAUGCAAUUCUCUGAAGAAUGCCCCUCAAGCUGCAGGUAAAAGUAUAUUAUCUAUUUCGGUUACACUUGAAACCUUGAAUCGUUGUUACCUUCAGAUUUCGUCAGUAUAUAUUUCAAAUAGUAUUAAUCACAUGUUCCGUUGAUCAAUAUUUUUUGCUGUCUAGGAAAAAUUGUCAUGAGCAUUUGAGUAAUACUCUUGAGCUUCUGAUUAUUCUGUUUGUCGUCCUAUGUAGGCAUACCUUUUCAGAAAGGCUUAUGUCAGGGUAAGCUAUUCUAAAACAGAAGCAUACUUGUGUCACAACAAUGUAUGCGAAGUAUCAGUAAAGGUGUGCAAAAGUACACCGUUUGUCAUAGGGAGUCCUCCCGCAUUGGUCGGUCUGGUCAGUUGGGUUGCUAUCGGACGGCACCAUCGUUCCACCGAUCUGUUGUUGCCAUAGGGAUUCGAAGGCUGUCGCGUGGAACAGGUGUCGCGGCUGGGGCAAGAAGACAGCGGAAGGCAUCUAGUAAGUUGCCUACUCAGAGCGAUGAGCUCCAAGAAGUGAAGCAUCAGUUAGUUUACAGGCGGUUUUUGACAGGGAGACCGCUUUUGUUUUGAUACCGCUGUGCUCAACUCAUGUCUUCACUAUGUCUUCUGGGUGUAUUGUCAGGUCGGCUUGAACUAGUGUUUGCUGCAUUGCCAUGCCGGCUUGAACCAACGACUACUGCAUUGUCCGUGCCAAUGGCAUCGGCUUAUCACUGAGUCCAGUCAAACCCUACAUUUACCACUUCUAAUGAAUUAGUUCCUGGCCGUUCCAUCCA